rnacentral:rRNA from 1 species
UACAGAGGGGGCAAGCGUUGUUCGGAAUUACUGGGCGUAAAGGGCGCGUAGGCGGCCUUCUAAGUCGAACGUGAAAUCCCCGGGCUCAACCCGGGAACUGCGUCCGAUACUGGAAGGCUUGAAUCCGGGAGAGGGAUGUGGAAUUCCAGGUGUAGCGGUGGAAUGCGUAGAUAUCUGGAGGAACACCGGUGGCGAAGGCGACAUCCUGGACCGGUAUUGACGCUGAGGCGCGAAAGCCAGGGGAGCAAACGGG